UUGCUGUGGUCGUCAGUCGCCACGUAUCAAACAUGUUUCAAUGCUAAUAUUAUACUGUCAUUUUUGAUAUUAGGAUUUACGACGUGAAAAUAUAAUUAUAAUAAGUAUAAUAUUAUAGCAUUAGACAUAUACAAGUAUAAACUAGAAAAGUAGAAACGCUAUAACUUAAGUUUUGAGCACGGACGUACUUAACGGUUUCACGUUGGACUUAUUCAGACGUUCAGUCUCCAGUCUCUAUUUGCCCGUGUAAUAUUCCAGAUAGUACCUACAGUGUAUCAUUAAAUCACUUUAAUUUUUAUUUACAAACAUGGACAAGACGGUGGCAUUAAGAAAUGGCGGUAGUAUAAUGCUUCUGAUUUCAAUUCUCUUGGGAGCUGGUGUUGCAAUAUGGGAUCAUAGAGAACAAUUGAAAGAGUUCAUAAAAAAACUCUUUAGAAAAGAAAAGACAGAUCAUGAACAACUUUUUGAGCAGUUAGAUUUAUUGCAAACACAAAGAAGAUAAACCUCUAAAGUAUAUUUUAUAUAUAUUUUUAUAUUUAUAACACUGACUUUACUAAUUUUUAUAUUGCAUUAAGGACAUUUUUAUCGUACUUGAAAAUUAAAUAUUAGUUAUAUUGUACAUGGUACUUAAUUUAUUGUAACAUCUAGUUAAUAGUAAUUUCUCUAGGUCUAUGAAUAAUAAUACCAGAAUGUUAAUGAUACAAAUUAAGUAGGAAUAUUUUCUAAUAAAUUAUAAAUAAUUACAUUAAAGAGUAGGUAUAAUAGCUAAAUUAAUGAGCAUUGUUGAAUUCGUUUUAGGUACUAUACAUUAUCUGUGUCUACCGAAUUAUUCAAGUACUAAAAAUACAAGUAAAAGAUAUUAUCAACAAAUUGAUAAGUUAUGUCUUAUUAUAAAAGUAUAGUGUUAUAA
rnacentral:lncRNA from 1 species